rnacentral:rRNA from 1 species
UACGUAGGGGGUAAGCGUUGUCCGGAUUUAUUGGGCGUAAAGAGCGUGUAGGCGGCCAUACAGGUCCGUUGUGAAAACUGGAGGCUUAACCUCCAGACGUCGAUGGAAACCGUAUGGCUAGAGUCCGGAAGAGGAGAGUGGAAUUCCUGGUGUAGCGGUGAAAUUCGUAGAUAUUCGCAAGAACACCAGUGGCGAAGGCGGCUCACUGGCCCGGUACUGACGCUGAGGCACGAAAGCGUGGGGAGCAAACAGG